rnacentral:lncRNA from 12 species
UGUCUAUCUUGUAGCCCUUCCUGUUUCCCACAAACACCAAACAGGCAAACUUCUACUGCACAUCUCCUUCUUUCCCUUGUUGUUUUGCAUGAAUGUGACAUUUGCAUCUGGUUUGCGUUUUCGGAGUAUUUCAUGGGGUACUGAGGGCGAGGAUUAAUUAUCACCACAUAGCAAUCAUCAUCAGGAAAGGCCUCAUUUACCUUGGAGUUUCGAUCCCUGCCUCCACAAAACCAAAAGCUGCAAUAUUUUAUCGUUGGCAGUUCUUGUCUCCCCUGCUUCACCUUUCUCCUGCGAGGCAGAGAGAAGAUGGCUGGAAGGGAUCAGCUCCUGAAAUACGACUGAGACCACAGGUUUAAAGGACUUCCACUGUCUCCAGCCCUUAUCAGCUUAGUUAGGUAUUGAGCAACUGUGAACCUCAAAUCUACAAGCAAUGCCAAGCUGCGAGGAGUGCUUCAAAAGCCAGAUCAAGUUGUUUUGAUGAAUUUCUUUCUCUGCUAUGUUUGCCCCAGACAAGAGGUUUUGCCUCCUGUUUGGGAAGAAAAUUAAGUUGCUACGGGCUCCAGAGCUCACAUCUAUCUAAAUGACAUUAUCUAAAGAACGGUAGUAUCUAAAUAACAUUAGUAUUCCAAAACUGUCAAAUGCCUUUGAAAAACACUUUUCCUUGGGAUUUUAUUUCUGUUUUGGUAGUUUAUGUCUGUUUUCCCUAAUUUGAUGCCUGAUGAUCAAAGAGUUUUAAAGACCUAAGUGUAAGGGUUUUUGCGUGUGUGUGUGUGAAAUUUCUCCAGGAUCUCUCCUAAAUAAAAUGACCAUCAUCCCCA